AACAUGCUCCCUUAGAUCCAUCUUUGUUGAUGUCUUUUGUGCUGAGUUCUGCUCAUAGCUUUGGUUCUGAGUAGUUCCAGCUAAGGGGCAUCAGCAACUUUAUUGUUGUACAGUCAAAGAUGCUUGAGUCAUUGGCAUGUGAGAAAAAUAUACCUGCACUCUUAGCUUUUUAUGUUCUGAUAGAUGUGGCAUAUGCAUGCCAUUUUCUGCUAUCAGGAUUUGGCUGAAGUGUGGACAUU